rnacentral:rRNA from 1 species
UGGGGAAUAUUGGACAAUGGGCGAAAGCCUGAUCCAGCAACGCCGCGUGAGGGAUGACGGCCUUCGGGUUGUAAACCUCUUUCAGCAGGGACGAAGCGAAAGUGACGGUACCUGCAGAAGAAGCACCGGCCAACUACGUGCCAGCAGCCGCGGUAAUACGUAGGGUGCGAGCGUUGUCCGGAAUUAUUGGGCGUAAAGGGCUCGUAGGCGGUUUGUCACGUCGGGAGUGAAAACUCAGGGCUUAACCCUGAGCCUGCUUCCGAUACGGGCAGACUAGAGGUAUGCAGGGGAGAACGGAAUUCCUGGUGUAGCGGUGAAAUGCGCAGAUAUCAGGAGGAACACCGGUGGCGAAGGCGGUUCUCUGGGCAUUACCUGACGCUGAGGAGCGAAAGUGUGGGGAGCGAACAGG